GUGCUUGCUUUGGCAACACAUAUACCAAAAUUGGAAGGAUACAGAGAAGCAUGGCCCCUGUGCAAGGAUGACACAGAAAUUCAUGAAGUGCUCCUUAUUUUU
rfam:Erinaceus europaeus unplaced genomic scaffold scaffold01190, whole genome shotgun sequence